GGGGGCGAAACGGCUUCGACAGGGAUCGGCGGCCGCAGUGGGAGCGAGCCGGGGGCCCGCGCCCCGUCAGCAAGCGGGAAGAAAAACAGACGCCGACAGCGAGUUGGCCCUGGCCGCUUAAUACGGGCGGCCCGUCCCUCUCCGGCAGGCCCGCGGCCGGGGAAGGGGCGUCGCACAGCGGGCUGGCCGAGGCCCGACUCCCGUGAGGGCCGAGGGACUUUUCAUCCGGGAUAGCUCCCGGCAAGCCGUUCGCCGGGCGAACCGGGAGCGAAGGGCAAUACGGCGGAUACGCUCGUAGAGCCCACGCGGCCGGAUUUCUGGACGGGGGUUCGACUCCCCCCGCCUCCACCA
rnacentral:tmRNA from 1 species